rnacentral:lncRNA from 1 species
UAUGAUUUUUCACCUCAAAACUCAAAUUACCUUCUUCUUUUUUUACUUAGGGGCAAGUCUGCUUUUGAUCUUGUUGACUUCUUUGGUACCAAUUUGGAAUGCCUUUGUCAACACGUGGUCCGGCACUGCUGGUGUUGAACCAAACAAGGUAACGGCAAUCGACUGAGUUCCCGGCAAUUGGCUGUUGAAGCCGGCGAUGACCGAUGCCGGUUCUUUGCCGUUGUUUUGCUGGAAAUGAACCAAACCUUUAGGGAACACGAAAAUGUCUCCUUUUUUUAAGGAUUUGGAGAUCAACUUGUUGGCAGUGGUGAUGAACCCCACAUCCAAUUCACCAUCGAGAACAAAGAUGAUCUCGGUGGCGCGUGGGUGAGUGUGAGGUGGGUUAAGUCCGCCAGGUUGAUAGUCAAUACGAGAAAGCGACACCCCAAGGGUGUUCAACCCUGGGAUUUUCUCAACAUUGGCUCCGGUCACCACCGAUCCCACCGUGUUGUUGACCACCGC